GCUGGCACAGAGACACAGAGCUGUCUGGUUCUUUUUCGUCGAUGUCACAGUGAGAGGAAAGAAUGGCUUCUUGUCUCGAGAGACACUGUAGCCUUCAGGUAUUUUGGGGUCUGAGUGAUUCUACCAUCUGCUGUGCCUAUAGAAGAAAGAGAGGCUCUAGAAACACAGCCCAGGAGGGUGCCUAAUGCUGCUGUCAUGGGUAGAAGGACUUAGAUCUGGAGCUUAGCACCUUUGGGACAGGAAUUUGCUCCCUGACCCCAGGACUCACCUGCUCCGAGGAGACAAAGAGCCACACAGCAGAUCACCUGGUGACCCAUGAUGGGAGAGGGGGCUCCCUGGAGUGCUAAGCACCUGUUGGAAGACAAAUGAGGAUAGAAACUUAGUUCUGGGGAUCCCCCUGGCUUAAAAUGCAGAAGUUGUCAGAAGGCUGGAAUGGAUAAUUGGAAAGGAUCCCAGAGGUGUUCUGGGUUCUGGGUGACGCCAGCAUUCAUGGGACCUCGGAGGAGAAGAGGUUACAUGAGACAGGGUCAUAAUGGCGGAGGAAGUGAGUGCUUGGCAAUGCAGCAACCUGAGGCGAGUGCGAAUAUCUUUUAAGUCUCCCGUGUUCGAGUGAAAACUCACAUGAAUUUUGCUUUUCGUGCCAUGAGGCAAUUAUUUGUUUUCAUUUAGAUGUCAAAAAAAUCGGAAAAUCUUUCAGAAAAUCUUUGGGCAACAUGAAGGUCCAGGGCCUAUUUGAGACACAGAGAGCCACAAAGCCCAGUGAUGCUGAUCCGUUAGCCCAGAGCUCACCUGCCCGCAGGAGCCAGAAAACUACCCAGCAGAGGAGUCUGGUGUGCAUGGCAGAGAAGGCAUGAAGAGGACCCACAGGCAUGGCCCAGGAAGGAUGCUCACUGUAUUAGCCCAGGGAGUUAGACUUCAAAGCCCCCUCGUCUGAGGCGGGUCUUCCUGUGAAGUCACCAUUUCCAGGGAGCCUGUUGUCUCUGGACCUAAUCUUGUACGUCACUUGAAUGAGACAUCUUUUUUUCUUUACUGUAAACACAUCCUGGCCUAGUAUGUGUUACUACGGGGACAGCGUUGCGCAGAGGUUUGUGGUUGCUGUUCCCUCACGUUAUUCCCCGUUGAAUCACUGCCCUGGAGAGACAGUCUUGUGGGGGAGGCAGAUCUGUGACAAAGGGAGGAGAAUAAAUCUCUAGCAGUCAACAUUCUGUUGUUCCACAAACAAGGAAGUCAUUCGUGUCUGUAGAGGGAAAGAGUCUUCAGAGGGGUCGUGUUUGAGAUAAAAUCAGUAGUAAUUUCUUAGAGUUUUGGCAUUUCCGAAGCCCAUGUCCUGAAGCAUGGCAUGCCCACUAUGAUAAUUUAAGAGCUAAUUUGUAGCCUUGCCCUCUCCCGCUUGCACAUGGAGCCACAACUAUCCACCUGCCUCUUUCUUUCUUCUGAAGCGCAAGACUGAGAAGUGGCCUUUUCAAAUGCCUCCCUAGAGCUCAGGGGAGAGGAGAAGAGCCACUGAGUUUGCACGCUGGACAGAACCGGUUCACCUGCACUAUUCCAAUGCCACCAGCAUGGCGAUUACAGCUGAGUCCCCCCGCUCUGCAGCAGGAUGGGUCUUAGGAUAGAAUAUGUCCCAUUGGGUCUUUCAACCGAAAGUCGUUCCUUGGGCAUUCCAACUCAGCUGCAGUGUUUUGGUAUCGGAAGGAAAUCAGAAAUUCCAUCUCUUGCUUCAGAGUCUGUGGGCACCAGUAAACAAGUAUAUGACCAGAAAUUGGAUCACAUCUCAGAUUCCCUUCUGUCCAUCUUUGUGAUCCCGUGGCUGGGGAUCUGGCUGACUGCCGGGUCUGUGUGUCCUGUGGGAGAAGACGGAAGCCAUAGAGAGUGGGCCUGGGAAAACAUCUUCUACACAAAUUCCCACACACUCCCAAGCUCACUUGCCCCCAGGUGUCCAAGGCAAGAUCACUGGCAGGACAAGCUUCCCCAGCAAUGGUUUCUGAUGGACAGCAGCAGAGACUAAUGGAAGUUUUGGGUUCCCUUAGCCCCACAAGGUAGAAUCUAGCCAUGAAAUCACAGUCCCUGGGAACACCCACAGUCUCAGGGCACCUUCCACAGAGGGGAUCAUUGGUCCAAAUGUAUGACCUCAUGUUUAUUUUGGUACAUGGAUGAUGUAAACAGGCUCCAAACCCACUUGAGCAUUCUUAGGAAAAGAGAAGUUCAAGGAAGGCACAAGAGGAAGAGGAAAAGGGGAGAAGAGAGUAAGAAUAGUAAGAACAAGAAGAAAAUGAUGGAGCACCGUGCUAGAGUUGCUAUUUUACGAAUCUUAUAAAGAUUGGCAGAAGUUCUCAAAACCCCACCAGGGGCUUGAUAAGAUGAAAUGUAUUCCUAUAACCCACUUCUGGAAAUUUUGACUCGAAAUUCUGAUCCUGUCCUAGAAUAUACCUGUGUAACCUGUUCCUCGGGUGAUACCGAAGAAAGAAGUUGUUUCAGACAACAGUUUCAAUCCCUUCUGAGUAGACAUUUUGAAUAUCCCAAACUAACAAAAGAGAAAACCUCUUAAUGAGUUAGAUUAGAAUGUUAAAACUUAAAUAGAACAAGAAUUUUCCUAGGACUAGGAAUAACUAAUGGAUAGACUUAAGUUCUGGAAACUCCAUUUACAAAAAAGAAGAGGUGGGAAAUUGAAACCUAAUUGAAAGUGAGGUGAGUGACGUCGAGGAAAAAGAAGUUUCCAGGAUUUAGGGGACAGUCAAUAUUGUCAAAUGCUUCAAAAAGAUCAAGUAGGCAGAGGAAUGAAAAUAAGCCUUCGAUCCAGCGAGUUUAUAGUUUUAAUAUUUAGGAGAAUAGUUUCAUAAGAAUGGGACUAUUCCAUGAAAAAGCUGAAGAGGCCCCCGAAGCAAUGAUUCCUCUGUGAUGAAAGCAAAGGUGUGGGUGAUGGAUUGCGUGUUGUUACUUAGAGAGGAACAGAAAUGGAAACUAAGGAGGACUCACAUUUGAGUGCUGGAAAGAGAACCUGAAAUUAGAAGCCAUAACAUUGGAUACACCAGGAAGUUGAGAGCUUCUGUUUCAAAGGGUCAGAAUGAUGUUUGUUUGAGAGAUGAAGUAAAUUUGGACUUCUGGGGGUAAGAAAACCAGGUUCAGCUUAUACUGAAAUAAGAACAGACAUGACUAGAGAGAAUAUAUAAACUUCUCUGAAGCUGAGUGGUAGGUGGUGGGGAAAUGAACAGUUUUAUAAACAGGAUGGAUCAUCAAAUUUUAACAGACGUAUUUUGAAUUCUGUCUGUUCUAUGUACCUGCAAUAACCUUCCAAGGUACAGUUGACGCCAUAAUAUCUCCUUUACUCCCAUUGGUGUUGAAUGCAUUGUCCCUCAGUACAAUUUGGAUCACAUAAUGGGAUUUUCAAUUGUCUGCACAUCAAUUUUCAAUUGUCUGCACAUCAGGUGUUUUCCCGCUGAGGUUAAUCUGUCCCCUCCCUCAGCUCCAUAGAAUUAGCUCCUACUAAUUAGUGACUUAGGUUUGAAUUGUCAUACUGAAAAUUAAUGUGCUUUUUGUAUUACCUGGAUUUAACUCCUUAAAAACAAAUUAACCAGAGUCUUCAUUUGGUCUGACAAACUAAGGAUCUUGAUCCCCUUUCACAUUCCUUCUUUUUUCCUAGGUUCUCUGUUUCCGGCACUACUUUUUUUGUGAUGGACACCCAUUGGGUGUCCUGCCCCUAACUGGAGAAUUCCUGUCUUUGAAAUCUUUGAUCCAUAAGGCCAGAGUGAUAGGCCUCCAGCUGCCAUGUUGUUCCAACUGACCCCCUUGGCUAACGUUGAAUUUUCCAAGAGCAUGUUCUUAACUAAAACAGGAUCAGUUUGUUUUCUGUUUUUAGGCUUUGUGGUCUUACAAGAGAGAAAGUCAAGUUGGUCCUUCCCAACGUGCCUGGAAGACCGACAUCUCAAUCUAUAGUCUUUUGCUCUAUGAGAUCAAAAAACUGGAAACGACAAUUUCUACUAAUGGGGAGAACAAUGGGGCCAAAAAGGUGGAAAAAGAAAUAAGAGUUGUUGAAUCAGCCAUGUCACAGUCCCAAAGAUUUCAUUCCAGUUUGUUCCUGAGAAAUUGCUGUGUUCUUGUUUUGGGUUCUAUAGGACAUACAUGUAGCCUUGUGAUAAAUUCCCAUUUGGCUUAAGCUGGCUCUAGUUAGUUUCUGUUAUUUCCUUCCACCCUAAUAUGCCAGCUGCUUCCUUAGCUGGGCCCAGGAUGUUUGUGUAUUAAGAUUAGCUAAUAUUUAACACUGCGGAUUCACUGCUAGCACAGAUACAUGGCUGAAUCCUGCAGCUCCGUAGUCUGGAUCUCUAGACGAGAGGGUGAGUUUCGGGGACACCUAGCUGAAAAUCCCUCCUUGUGCAUCCCUGUUUUAUCGGUUUCAUUCUGGAAAGAAAUCAAGAACUUGAACUCUUUUGCCGGGAUCUGCUGAUACCAGAAAACAUAACUGUGUCCUUUUAUCGGGACACAGUACAUUGUUGCUCUCUGUCCUUUUCCUUUGACCAGGUGUCCUGGAGUCUGGGUGACUUCUGCAUCGAGGGGGCCUGUGAAGCAAGCAGACUGAAGUUGGAGGCUUAGCCCCGGAGGGAGUCCGGUGACAGGAACCAAAGGCUGAGAGCUGCGGGGUGGGGGGCUGAGGAGUUCAGAGAAGGGGCUUACCUGCGCUCAGGGGACAAAGGACCACGGGCAGGUGAAUAUGAGACACAUGGCAGCAUCAGGACCACAGAGAGGCAGGUGGCUUUCUCUGAGGCUUUGCUUCCCCCACAUUACCAGCUACUCUGUGACGUGAUCACUUCACAGAACCCAAGCGUCUCGUGUGUGCUGCUCUGUACAAGUGAAGACACAAAGUGGGUCUUCACAAAGACACAAAGUGGAUGAAAGAACGGUACUCGGUCGCUGGAAAACAGGCAGCUCAGGACUGGGAUUUUUCUAAAGCAAGAAGGAAUAGGACGAUGUCUGCAGAUGGCGAGGGGGAGACACUGAGCAUGGCAAAUUUUCUGAGUUGACGAGACAGAGGUUGAAUGUUAGAGGCAACACAGCAAGUGGAACUCACGAGGAGGACGACCAGGGAGGUGGAAGAUACCCAAAGAACCCCGGAAAUGUUCAGAGGGAUCGUAAUGAAGUUUCGUCCUAACAGGAACCCGUGUCUGUGUGAGAUGAAACUUUAAGAAGCACCAGAGACGAACCCCAGAAAUGAGUCACCAGCAUCCCCAGAGUGGCCAUGCUUUUGCAGUAGGACAAAAUUUGUUUAGAGCAGGAGGUGGUAACUGACAGCCCAGGGCUGGCCACCUGUUCACGUACAGUUUUACUGGGGAUGAGAUGCGCUUCUGGAAUGGCAGCACGAGAUUUGAAUACCCUCUUCCCAGAGGAAAAAAAAAACCAAACAAACAUAACUUCUGAAAAGUUAGAAACAAUGAUUUAAAGGGCACCUGGGUGGCUCGGUUGGUUAAGUGUCUGACUCUCGAUUGCGGCUCAGGCCAUGAUCUCACAGUUCGUGAGUUGGAGCUCUGCCUCAGGCUCUGUGCUGACAGCGCGGAGCCUGCUUGGGAUUCUCUCUCUCUCUCCUUUCCUCUCUGUUCCUCCCCCAGUUGUGGUCUCUCUGUCAAAAAUAAAUAAAGUUUAAAAAACCACAACCAUUUAAAGCCUCUGAACAUUGUCCCAAGAGCAUACGGCGAAUGAAGAAACACUUCUUGGAGAAAAUUGAAAUCUCAGUGGGGCCAGUGAGACUGGAUGGCAUUUGAGCCUCUCUGCUUCCUGCAUCAACCUAAGCUCAGGGUGAUGGACGCUGUAUGCUCUGCAGAUGUGGUCGAGGAGGACACAGGGCUCCCGCAGUUUUUCCUGAGGAGGCACGGGCUGCCAGCAAUUCUCAUCCCCACCAGGUCCGUGAUGCAGAAACUCUUUUCCAUAGCAACUGCAGCUCAGGGGUCUGGGCUCCCUUUCUCCACCCAGUGCCCACUAGUGGGGUAGACCCUCUAUUCCAGAAACAGCAGGCCAAGACUGCUAGGCCCCAAUCUUCCUCAUUCUGGCCUGCUCAUAGCGUGGAGGUUCCACAGUGGGAGAUGCGAGUCAAAAAGACCAGGGCUUACCACCCCACCCAGCGACCCCUCAGAGCGCAACGGUGUCCUUCCAGAAGAAGUGGGCCAGUGUCCCUAGCCCCAGCUCUGGAGGCUUGAUGCAGAGUUUCCGUCCAUGGGGGGAGGGAAGUCACAGAGCUGCAUAGCUCUGCUUUGACCUAAGGACCCUCCAGCCUGGCUGAGAUUUGCUUGGAAUUGUGCUGUAGCCCAAGACCUACUUUACUUCCUGCCUCCUCCCUCCCUUUUUCUUCCUCUUUUCCUUCUUCCUUCCCUCUCUCCUUACAGGGGUCGGAUCCACACCGCGACCUGAUGGCCUCCCAGCCUCCUCCAUCUUUUGUCCCAUUUUCUCCGCUACGUCUCCUGCAUGACUGACCCACCUUGGCAUCUACUUCUUGGAGGACCUGAAAUAAUGCUUCUUUCUUAGCGUGCCCUCGCACUUUGGGCGACCAUACCUGCUAGAGAACAAGGGGAUUCUCUGCUGCUCUGCUUCGCUACAGCAAAUCCCACCCCCUUCCACCUCCUCCUCCCCCGGCUGGGUAUGAGGAUCAGAUGGUCACCAGGAGCAGGACUUCAUCUUCAGUCUCGAGGCCUCAGCUGUUAUCUGAGCCUGGAAUGGGCUCAAGAUGCAUCAAUUUCUUAAGCCUCAUCAUGGAGCCACAAAUGAAGAAAGAGAUCUGACCCCAACAUCUCAUUUUACAGAAGAAAGUUUUGAAAUGUAGGUAGAAGCAUAGAGAUACACUUGUGAGGAACAGAGUACAGACGGUGGUGAGCAAAAGAGAGAGGAAAAGCAGAACACUGUAGUGACGGUGGGUGGCCCGGAUGACAGUGGUUAGAUUCUCUGAAUCUCAUUUAGUUAUCAAAUCAGGUACUGGGUGGUACCUCUUGGCCUCUUGAUUACAGAGUUGGAAGCAUAUGGCAUUGUUGAUGACUCUAUGAGGAGAUGUAAUAAAUCACUGCUUGGUAGGAA